GAUGAACGCUAGCGGGAGGCUUAAUACAUGCAAGUCGAGGGGUAACGAUAGAGCUUGCUCUAGGCGACGACCGGCGAACGGGUGAGUAACGCGUACACAACCUACCUUCAAGAGGGGGAUAGCCCUGGGAAACUGGGAGUAAUACCCCAUAGUAUUACUUAAUUAUAUGAUAUAGUAAUUAAAGUUCCGGCGCUUGAAGAUGGGUGUGCGUCCCAUUAGCUAGUUGGUGAGGUAACGGCUCACCAAGGCGACGAUGGGUAGGGGGCGUGAGAGCGUGGUCCCCCACACGGGUACUGAGACACGGACCCGACUCCUACGGGAGGCAGCAGUAAGGAAUAUUGGACAAUGGGCGAAAGCCUGAUCCAGCCAUCCCGCGUGCAGGAUGAAUGCCCUAUGGGUUGUAAACUGCUUUUAGAUAGGAAGAAACCCCAUUAUUCAUAAUGGGCUGACGGUACUAUCAGAAUAAGCACCGGCUAACUCCG
rnacentral:rRNA from 1 species